GAGCCCCGACGAGAGUUUUCUUUUCUUGUUAACAGAUUUCAAUGACCCUGGAAUCGGAUUGACCGGAGAUAGGGUUAUCGGUCUGGGAAAGGCGGUCGCUUUUGGACCGCUUCGGUGCGCUCUCGACGUUCCUUGAAAACCUGGCGGCGUGUCUUAUUCGCACUCCUGGUCGUACUCAUAACCGCAUCAGGUCUCCAAGGUUA
rnacentral:rRNA from 1 species